rnacentral:rRNA from 1 species
ACUCCUACGGGAGGCAGCAGUGGGGAAUAUUGCACAAUGGGCGCAAGCCUGAUGCAGUCAUGCCGCGUGUGUGAAGAAGGCCUUCGGGUUGUAAAGCACUUUCAGCAGUGAGGAAGGCGGAGUCGUUAAUAGCGGCCUCGUUUGACGUUAGCUGCAGAAGAAGCACCGGCUAACUCCGUGCCAGCAGCCGCGGUAAUACGGAGGGUGCGAGCGUUAAUCGGAAUUACUGGGCGUAAAGCGCAUGCAGGUGGUUUGUUAAGUCAGAUGUGAAAGCCCGGGGCUCAACCUCGGAAUAGCAUUUGAAACUGGCAGACUAGAGUACUGUAGAGGGGGGUAGAAUUUCAGGUGUAGCGGUGAAAUGCGUAGAGAUCUGAAGGAAUACCGGUGGCGAAGGCGGCCCCCUGGACAGAUACUGACACUCAGAUGCGAAAAGCGUGGGGAGCAAACAGGAUUAGAUACCCUGGUA